AUCUUUUUGGAAUCAGACAGAGGACUCUGAGAGAAUGAGUUGGAUAAAUGCUGGCUGCAGCCAGUCUCUGAACCUUUUGUGCUGUCACCCAGAUGGAAAGCUAGUAGCCCCACAAAAUGUCUUAACCUAACUGGUCAAAGCCUACCAUUUACCUCUUCAUUUGGGCACAAAUGCUUUAAUAAAACAGAUUUCAGUGAUUGGUAUGCCUGUCAUCUUUCAGAAGUCACUCAACAUUGUAAACAUCAUGAAACUGUUCUGAAUGAAGAACAGCAACCAACAGAACAAGAAAAACAUGAAUUAUAACCCAGAGAUUUUGUCCACAUUAAGGUAUACGCCCCAAGAGAUGCUCUCAGCCCAGUGUGGACAGGACUGUACUUGGUUUUGCUCACAACUGCUACUUCCAUCUCCUGUGAGGGCCUCCCACCUGGAUCCACAUGUUGUAUGUCAAGAAGACCCUUGCUCAUGACAAGUGCAACCCUUGACUCCAUUGAUGUAAUUCCAUGUGACCCACCAGAAUAUAUCCCCAGCAGAACCAAAUGAAAAAACAGGGACAUUAUUAUACCCAGAAUUGAUGGUCAAUUAUGUUUUUCCAUUUGGAACAAACCCAGAACUGACUGUGAAUCAUUUGCCAUCCAGAUUAAAUCUACAAGUGGAUACAGCUCAGUUACCCUUUGUACCAGAUCAGGAAGUGAAAUUAUGUGACUCCUUUACUUCCUCUCAGCCUGAAUCAAAUUUAACUGACUGUUAUUCAACAUCAACUGUGAUUUUUCUUACAUCUGAAUCCCCAAAAUCAGUGAUUCAUCAUGCCUUUUGGACAAUGUCAUCAGCAAUGUGUUAUCCAAACAAAAUUUAGUUGCAAUGCCAUCUGCAAUAAAUGUUGUUGUUCAGAGAUUA